rnacentral:rRNA from 1 species
GUCCACGCCCUAAACUAUGUGCACUAGGUAUUGGCAGUAUCGACCCUGUCAGUGCCGUUUAAAAAGCUAACGCGUUAAGUGCAUCGCCUGGGGAGUACGGCCGCAAGGCUAAAACUCAAAGGAAUAGACGGGGACCCCGCACAAGCGGUGGAGUAUGUGGUUUAAUUCGACGAUGAACGAGGAACCUUACCUGGGUUUGACAUUUAGCUGCAAGCCACUAGAAAUAGAGGCCGCCUUCGAGGGUGCUAAACAGGUGCUGCAUGGCUGCCGU